rnacentral:rRNA from 1 species
AGGUGCUGCAUGGUUGUCGUCAGCUCGUGCCGUGAGGUGUCGGCUUAAGUGCCAUAACGAGCGCAACCCUUAUCUUUAGUUACUAACAGGUUAUGCUGAGGACUCUAGAGAGACUGCCGUCGUAAGAUGUGAGGAAGGUGGGGAUGACGUCAAAUCAGCACGGCCCUUACGUCCGGGGCUACACACGUGUUACAAUGGGGGGUACAGAAGGCAGCUACACGGCGACGUGAUGCUAAUCCCAAAAACCUCUCUCAGUUCGGAUCGAAGUCUGCAACCCGACUUCGUGAAGCUGGAUUCGCUAGUAAUCGCGCAUCAGCCAUGGCGCGGUGAAUACGUUCCCGGGCCUUGUACACACCGCCCGUCAAGCCAUGAAAGCCGGGGGUACCUGAAGUACGUAACCGCAAGGAGCGUCCUAGGGUAAAACUGGUAAUUGGGGCUAAGUCGUAACAAGGUAGCCGUACCGGAAGGUGCGGCUGGAACACCUCCUUU